rnacentral:rRNA from 1 species
AUUGAACGCUGGCGGCGUGCCUAACACAUGCAAGUCGAGCGGCGGCGCGGGAGCAAUCCUGGCGGCGAGCGGCGGACGGGUGAGUAACGCUUGGGAAUCUGCCUGUUAGUGGGGGACAACCCGGGGAAACUCGGGCUAAUACCGCAUACGCACUACGGUGGAAAGCCGGGGACCGCAAGGCCUGGCGCUAACAGAUGAGCCCAAGUCGGAUUAGCUAGUUGGUAGGUAACGGCCUACCAAGGCGACGAUCCGUAACUGGUCUGAGAGGACGACCAGUCACACCGGAACUGAGACACGGUCCGGACUCCUACGGGAGGCAGCAGUGGGGAAUAUUGGACAAUGGGGGAAACCCUGAGUC